UACCCGCAGCACAAGUGGUGGUCAUUAUUAUUGGGCCUAAAGCGUCCGUAGCUGGCCUGUUAGAUGCCUGGAUAAAUCGAUGCGCUCAACGUAUCGAAUUCCGGGUAGACCGGCAGGCUCGGGACCGGGAGAGGCGUGAGCUACUCGGGGGGUAGGGGUAAAAUCCUGUAAUCCUCCGGGGAGGACCAGUGGCGAAGGCGUCACGCUAGAACGGCUCCGACAGUGAGGGACGAAGCCCUGGGGCGCAAACCGG
rnacentral:rRNA from 1 species